rfam:Exophiala mesophila strain CBS 40295 unplaced genomic scaffold supercont1.5, whole genome shotgun sequence.
UCCGAUGUAGUGUAGUUGGUUAACAUCUCUGUUUCUCAUAUCACUCUUGAUAUUCACAGAAGCCUCGGGUUCAAAUCCCGGCGUCGGAA